rnacentral:rRNA from 1 species
UACGUAGGUGGCGAGCGUUGUCCGGAUUUACUGGGCGUAAAGAGCGCGCAGGCGGUCGUUCAAGUCGCGUGUGAAAGCCCCCGGCUCAACUGGGGAGGGUCACGCGAUACUGAUCGACUCGAAGGCAGGAGAGGGAAGUGGAAUUCCCGGUGUAGUGGUGAAAUGCGUAGAUAUCGGGAGGAACACCAGUGGCGAAGGCGGCUCACUGGCCCGAUACUGACGCUGAGGCACGAAAGCGUGGGUAGCAAACAGG